rnacentral:lncRNA from 1 species
AUGCCUAGAUAUUGGUCCAACAUCUUAUCUCUAGCUUAUAGUAAUUCAUUAAGCCAAAUCGCUUUUGGGGAAAUUUUGGUUUCUGAUGGUAAUUUAUUUGAAAUUAGGUUAAUUGAAAAAUUCAAAUUAGUACUGCGAAAAUUAUGCCAUGACUUAUCUGAAACAGAAGUUUUACAUCAAGUGAAUGUUUAUAAAGCCAGGCCUAGAGCAACCAUCUGCAGAAACAUAAGUUUUACAUCAGGUGAAUCUCUUAAAAUGUGA